rnacentral:tRNA from 1 species
CAGAAAAUAGUUUAAGUAAAACCUAAACUUUGGGAGUUUAAAAUGAUAAGUAUUUAUCUUUUCUGA